rnacentral:rRNA from 1 species
AGAGUUUGAUCCUGGCUCAGGAUGAACGCUAGCGAUAGGCUUAACACAUGCAAGUCGAGGGGUAACGUGUUGGAAGCUUGCUUCCGAUGACGACGACCGGCGGAUGGGUGCGUAACGCGUAUGCAACUUGCCUCACAGUGGAGAAUAACCCGGAGAAAUCCGGACUAAUGUUCCAUACACUCUUAAGUACGCCUGUACAUGAGAGGAAAGAUUUAUCGCUGUGAGAUAGGCAUGCGUCCUAUUAGGUAGUUGGUGAGGUAACGGCUCACCAAGCCGACGAUAGGUAGGGGUGCUGAGAGGCAGAUCCCCCACAUUGGGACUGAGACACGGCCCAAACUCCUACGGGAGGCAGCAGUGAGGAAUAUUGGUCAAUGGAGGAAACUCUGAACCAGCCAAGUCGCGUGAAGGAAGAAUGUCCUAAGGAUUGUAAACUUCUUUAGCGAGCGAGUAAGGACUUCCACGUGAUGGGAGUUUGAAAGUAGCUCGAGAAUAAGUAUCGGCUAACUCCGUGCCAGCAGCCGCGGUAAUACGGAGGAUACGAGCGUUAUCCGGAUUUAUUGGGUUUAAAGGGUGCGCAGGUGGUCUUGCAAGUCAGUGGUGAAAAGCUGAGGCUCAACCUCAGCCUUGCCGUUGAAACUGUAAGACUUGAGAGUACAUGAUGUGGGCGGAAUGCGUAGUGUAGCGGUGAAAUGCAUAGAUAUUACGCAGAACUCCGAUUGCGAAGGCAGCUCACAAAGGUAUGUCUGACACUGAGGCACGAAAGCGUGGGGAGCGAACAGGAUUAGAUACCCUGGUAGUCCACGCCGUAAACGAUGAUUACUCGAAGUAUGCGAUAUGACAGUAUGCUUCCAAGCGAAAGUGAUAAGUAAUCCACCUGGGGAGUACGCCGGCAACGGUGAAACUCAAAGGAAUUGACGGGGGCCCGCACAAGCGGAGGAACAUGUGGUUUAA